GUAGGUGAACCUGCGGAAGGAUCAUUAACACGUGAUACUCACGUAUUAAACACCCACCGAGAAUUUGUUAUUAUCCUAGUUUAAGAUGCAGGUAGACGAAGUGAGGGAAUGCUAUUGGUUGUAACAAACCAUAACUCAUUAGUCGUUCUUAGGUCCGCCCUGGAGCUUGCGCUGACAACUAGUUGACGAGUUACGACUGCUUAUUAAGCCUGUAGCAUAGCUUGCAGAUCGUAAUGACCUUAUUAACCCCUUUUACUAUUAUUUACUGAUUUGUACGUUUAUAUGAAUUCCUGACUGAAAGGUUGGUUGUAGUUUAUAUAGAUGUCGUAUAUUACUAAUACGAAACAACUCUUAGCAACGGAUAUCUUGGUUCUC
rnacentral:misc_RNA from 1 species